rnacentral:tRNA from 2 species
CGGGGUGUAGCUCAGGUGGUAGAGCACCGGCUUUGGGAGCCGGGGGUCGCAGGUUCAAGUCCUGUCGCCCCGA